rnacentral:lncRNA from 1 species
GGAGAAAAUAUAUUUGUCUAUUUUUAUUUAAGUGCUUCACUUUCUCCUUUAUAAGAGAGUGUAGGAGGUCCAAUGAGAUAUUAAUGGCACAUUUGCCAACCCUUUUGUUUUCUUUCACUUAUUUCUUCAUCUUCAUUCACUCACUUCAUUGGUUUUCAAGGUCCAUUGUAUCAAUGAGUGUUCUACCUUGAUAUUAGCUUAACAUCUCAGGAUUUAUAGCAAGUUGCAGUUUCCCUCCAAGAUUUUCAUCACAAUCUAGAGAACCUAAUUGCUGUUGCUUUCAGGAAGGCGCAGAGUUUCUUCAAAAUGGGAGAAGCCUGGAUUGAUGGCAGUGUUGAUGAUAGGCAGGCAAAAUGGGACAAAGGUGCAUGGCAAUGGCAAUGGCAAUGGCAAUGGCAAUGGCACUUGCUGAAUGCUAUGAACGAUGCCUUCUGCAGUUUGUGUCACUGGGAAGAUCUUUAUGGCAUGCUAUAUACUAAUAUGCAAGGUCAUGCUCAUAUAUAUGGAGCUGCAUACAAUGCACUUAUCCAUCAAUGCUUAAUUCCUCUGACCAACAACAAUGCAGCAUAUCUUUUGCUGCUCUAUGCUUCUUGCUAUUGCUUUUGCCAGGCUGUGACAGAAUCUUAUGCUAAACAAGUUACAUUGACAAAUGGCAAUACAGAUUACAUUGAUGGCUUCUAUGAAAGCUCAUCAAUGAUAAAUGGUCACUAAAUCAAAUCAGCAAACCCUCUUGUACAAGACAAAGAUCUCAAACCAAUAAGCAACUUGUUGUUUCUUCAGACAAAUGUGCUUCAUUGAGGUCUUAUGUUCUUGUACUGCUACUGAAGAGAGUUCCCCUUGGAAACUUCAAAAAUUACUACUGUUUUAAUCAUUUUCUAAAAAGUAAACUUGAUCAUGGCUUUAAGUCUCACUCUCUCUCUUUCAUAUCAUCAAUGUAAUAGUACUCAUGAGCUUUACGUCCAUGUUUUGCUCUUUGCAGUAUAAUGUAAUAAAUUGUAGUUUUAUGUGUUUGUAAUGUAAAAACUACUGGCAGCCAUGGAUGCAAGUGAUGAAUAAAGCCUCAGACCUGUAAAUUCAGGGAGGAAUCCCUAAAGUAAAAAAGAAGGGUCCAAAUAUACAUACAUAGCAAAUGUUGUUAGGAAUAUAUAAAGAUGUACUGUAUAUAUAACUAUUAAAUAAAAUGACAUAGAAGAGAG